rnacentral:rRNA from 1 species
AGUGAACGCUGGCGGUAGGCCUAACACAUGCAAGUCGAACGGCAGCACAGUAAGAGCUUGCUCUUACGGGUGGCGAGUGGCGGACGGGUGCGGAAUACAUCGGAAUCUACUUUUUCGUGGGGGAUAACGUAGGGAAACUUACGCUAAUACCGCAUACGACCUACGGGUGAAAGCAGGGGAUCUUCGGACCUUGCGCGAUUGUAUGAGCCGAUGUCGGAUUAGCUAGUUGGCGGGGUAAAGGCCCACCAAGGCGACGAUCCGUAGCUGGUCUGAGAGGAUGAUCAGCCACACUGGAACUGAGACACGGUCCAGACUCCUACGGGAGGCAGCAGUGGGGAAUAUUGGACAAUGGGCGAAAGCCUGAUCCAGCCAUACCGCGUGUGUGAAGAAGGCCUUCGGAUUGUAAAGCCCUUUUGUUGGGAAAGAAAAGCAGCAGGUUAAUACCCCGCUGUUCUGACGGUACCCAAAGAAUAAGCACCGGCUAACUUCGUG